rnacentral:rRNA from 1 species
GACGAACGCUGGCGGCGUGCCUAAUACAUGCAAGUUGAGCGAUGAAGAUUGGUGCUUGCACCAAUUUGAAGAGCAGCGAACGGGUGAGUAACGCGUGGGGAAUCUGCCUUUGAGCGGGGGACAACAUUUGGAAACGAAUGCUAAUACCGCAUAACAACUUUAAACAUAAGUUUUAAGUUUGAAAGAUGCAGUUGCAUCACUCAAAGAUGAUCCCGCGUUGUAUUAGCUAGUUGGUGAGGUAAAGGCUCACCAAGGCGAUGAUACAUAGCCGACCUGAGAGGGUGAUCGGCCACAUUGGGACUGAGACACGGCCCAAACUCCUACGGGAGGCAGCAGUAGGGAAUCUUCGGCAAUGGACGAAAGUCUGACCGAGCAACGCCGCGUGAGUGAAGAAGGGUUUCGGAUCGUAAAACUCUGUUGGUAGAGAAGAACGUUGGUGAGAGUGGAAAGCUCAUCAAGUGACGGUAACUACCCAGAAAGGGACGGCUAACUACGUG